rnacentral:snoRNA from 1 species
GUGCAUCUCAAUUUGACAGCCCUGGAGCUGUUCCUGUCUGCGGUUAAGGUUUCCACUGCAGGUGCAAGAAAAAAUGUUCUUGUCUGCUCUGAUUGUGGCAGCACAGAAUGAAUGGGGGAAUACAGGG